AAAAAUGUAAUUUAUAGUUAAAAUGUUAGGCUUCAAACCUAAAUAUAAGAAAGUUUUAUAAUUCUUCGUUUUUG
rnacentral:tRNA from 1 species